GACAGAGGGUGCAAACGUUGUUCGGAAUUACUGGGCGUAAAGCGCGUGUAGGCGGUUCGGAAAGUCGGGUGUGAAAGCCCUGGGCUCAACCCAGGAAGUGCACUCGAAACUCCCGAACUAGAGUCCUGGAGAGGAAGGCGGAAUUCUCGGUGUAGAGGUGAAAUUCGUAGAUAUCGAGAGGAACAUCGGUGGCGAAGGCGGCCUUCUGGACAGCGACUGACGCUGAGACGCGAAAGCGUGGGGAGCAAACGGG
rnacentral:rRNA from 1 species